rnacentral:rRNA from 1 species
UACGGGGGGAGCAAGCGUUGUUCGGAUUUACUGGGCGUAAAGGGCGCGUAGGCGGUUAGCACAAGUCAGUUGUGAAAUCUCCGAGCUUAACUCGGAAAGGUCAACUGAUACUGUGCGACUAGAGUGCGGAAGGGGCAACUGGAAUUCUUGGUGUAGCGGUGAAAUGCGUAGAUAUCAAGAGGAACACCUGCGGCGAAGGCGGGUUGCUGGGCCGACACUGACGCUGAAGCGCGAAAGCCAGGGGAGCGAACGGG